rnacentral:misc_RNA from 1 species
GAUGAAGAACGUAGUGAAAUGCGAUAGGUAAUGUGAAUUGCAGAAUUCAGUGAGUCAUCGAAUCUUUGAACGCACAUUGCGCCCUGUGGUAUUCCGCAGGGCAUGCCUGUUCGAGCGUCAUUUCAACCCUCAAGCCCCGCUUGGUGUUGGGCCCCGCCCGCUGUGGCCGGCCCUAAAGACAGUGGCGGCGCCGCCUGGCCCUCAGCGUAGUACAUCUCUCGCUCCAGGGUCCGGUGGCCGCCUGCCAGAACCCCCCAACUCUGUGGUUGACCUCGGAUCAGGUAGGGAUACCCGCUGAACUUAAGCAUAUCAAUAAGCGGAGGA